GACGUAGGUGGCGAACGUUAUCCGGAAUUAUUGGGCCUAAAGCAUCCGUAGCCGGUUCUACAAGUCUUCCGUUAAAUCCAUCUGCUUAACAGAUGGGCUGCGGAAGAUACUAUAGAGCUAGGAGGCGGGAGAGGCAAGCGGUACUCGAUGGGUAGGGGUAAAAUCCGUUGAUCCAUUGAAGACCACCAGUGGCGAAGGCGGCUUGCCAGAACGCGCUCGACGGUGAGGGAUGAAAGCUGGGGGAGCAAACCGG
rnacentral:rRNA from 1 species